CAGUGAUCGCAGAGCCGGCUCGGAGGCGCCCUCUGCUCCAAUAGACAGGGGCGACUUCGUGCUGGAUAUCCGUCAAAUUCUUACCUCGCCCUUACUCUGCUGGUAGGAUCAGAUUGCAUUUCUUUCAUUACUCUUCACUUCCCAGUUUGCUGAUCUCUUUAAAAGAAGCAGCAGAAAAGAUAAAUCCUCUCUUCAAUGCCUGGAAGGGAAAACAAAAUAACCUCAACGGCGCUUUGAAAAAAAUCUUUCCAAGAACUUUCUUCAGAGAUUUUACUCAGAUGAUCUAUACAAUGAAGAAAGAACAGAUUUGUUGGGCUUCUAUAUGUCUGCUGCUUGGUUGUGCCUCUGCUCCUCUUAAUGCUGCUCCUCAGGAAAGUGAAGAACAUACAAACAUUACAGAUGCUGAGUUACCACCACUGAAACCUCUGCAUUCGUUUUGUGCGUUGAAAGCGGAUGAUGGCCCAUGCAGGGCAAUGAUCAAGAGAUUUUUUUUCAAUAUUCAUACUCAGCAGUGUGAAGAAUUUGUAUACGGGGGAUGUGAAGGCAAUCAGAAUCGAUUUGAAAGCCUGGAAGAGUGCAAAGAAAAGUGUAUAAGAGUUUAUCCAAAGAAAUCUAGAAGGACAGAAGGAACAUUGCAAAAAGAAAAGCCAGAUUUCUGCUUUUUGGAAGAAGAUGCUGGAAUCUGUCGAGGUUAUAUUACUAGGUAUUUCUAUAACAAUCAGUCAAAGCAGUGUGAACGCUUCAAGUAUGGUGGGUGCCUCGGCAAUCUGAACAACUUUGAUUCUUUGGAAGAAUGCAAGAACGCUUGCGAGGAUGCAUUGAAUGAUUUCCAGGUGGAUGAUCAUAGAACCCAGAUUAAUGCUGUGAAUAAUGACUCCUUGACUCCCCAGCCUACCAAGGUUCCCAACUUUUGGGUUACAAAAGAAAGAACAAAUGAUGGUUGGAAGAAUGCGGAUCAUACUUACCAAGUCUUUCUGAAUGCCUUCUUCAUUCAUGCAUCCAUGUUCAUUUUAGGAUUAGAUUUCAAAGUCUGGAUUUUGAAUAGAAUUUUAUGGCCCCUCCUGGUGUCUGACCCCAGCGGACAGAGGAUUGUGUCAAGCCAAUGAAAGCAGAUUCUACUACAAUUCAAUUAUUGGGAAAUGCCGCCCAUUUAAGUACAGUGGAUGUGGAGGGAAUGAAAACAAUUUUACUUCUAAAAGAGCAUGUCUUAAGGCUUGUAAGAAAGGUUUCAUCCAAAGAAUAUCAAAAGAAGGAUUAAUUAAAACAAAAAGAAAAAGAAAGAAGCAGCCAGUGAAAAUAGUAUACGAAAAAAUUUUUGUUAAAAAGACAUAAAUUUGUUAUGUUAUUACAACAUUAAUCCUACUAAAUAUUUUGGAUGAAGCUUUUCAA